rnacentral:rRNA from 1 species
AGAACGAACGCUGGCGGCAGGCCUAACACAUGCAAGUCGAGCGCCCGUAGCAAUACGGGAGCGGCAGACGGGUGAGUAACACGUGGGAACGUGCCCAAAGGUACGGAACAACUCCGGGAAACUGGAGCUAAUACCGUAUGUGCCCGAAAGGGGAAAGAUUUAUCGCCUUUGGACCGGCCCGCGUCUGAUUAGCUAGUUGGUGAGGUAAUGGCUCACCAAGGCGACGAUCAGUAGCUGGUCUGAGAGGAUGAUCAGCCACACUGGGACUGAGACACGGCCCAGACUCCUAGGGAGGCAGCAGUGGGGAAUAUUGGACAAUGGGCGCAAGCCUGAUCCAGCCAUGCCGCGUGAGUGAUGAAGGCCCGUAGGUUGUAAAGCUCUUUCGGCGGGACGAUAAUGACGGUACCCGCAAGAAGAACGCCCCGGCUAACUUCGUGCCAGCAGCCGAC